GCCGAGGUGGCGGAAUUGGUAGACGCAGCGGAUUCAAAAUCCGCCGCUGGUAACAGCGUGGGGGUUCAAGUCCCCCCCUCGGCACCA
rnacentral:tRNA from 3 species